AAUGGUUGAAGAGUGAGGCUCUGUCAUUCCAUGCCUGGUGUCUGUGCUGCUUUUUCUUUCAUUUUUCUAAGCAGGACACAGGCUCUCUUCGCUUGUAGGUAUCCCACUUUCUGAUACUGAAAAGUCCAUCUGCAUUUUUAAAAGGCUGUGUUAGACAUGCAUCUUGGGAAAGAUACACUUGCCAAUGGUUGCAGUCAAAUUUGCCAUCAAAUAUGAUCCUUAUUGGAGGCAAGGGGAAAGUCUAAGAAAAAGUGGACAGUUUCUAAGCCAAACGUUCUUGUUGUUGCAUAAAACACUGAAAACUCUCAAAGCCUUUUGUUCUCUUUUAAUAAAACACAAAACCCAGUAAAUUAA